UACGUAGGGUGCGAGCGUUGUCCGGAAUUAUUGGGCGUAAAGAGCUUGUAGGCGGUUUGUCGCGUCUGCUGUGAAAAUCCGGGGCUCAACCCCGGACUUGCAGUGGGUACGGGCAGACUAGAGUGUGGUAGGGGAGACUGGAAUUCCUGGUGUAGCGGUGAAAUGCACAGAUAUCAGGAGGAACACCAAUGGCGAAGGCAGGUCUCUGGGCAGUUACUGACGCUGAGGAGCGAAAGCAUGGGUAGCGAACAGGAUUAGAUACCCG
rnacentral:rRNA from 1 species